CCCUUAGAUGUUCUGGGCCGCACGCGCGCUACACUGACUGGUGCAACAAGUGUCGCUCCUUGGCCGAUAGGCCUGGGCAAUCUUUGAACGCCAGUCGUGAUGGGGAUAGAUUCUUGCAAUUUUUGAUCUUCAACGAGGAAUUCCUAGUAAACGCGAGUCAUCAACUCGCAUUGAUUACGUCCCUGCCCUUUGUACACACCGCCCGUCGCACCUACCGAUUGAAUGGUCCGGUGAAAUCCUCGGAUCGAGCCGUGGGGCAACUCCGGUUCGAGAAGUUGAUUAAACCUUACCAUUUAGAGGAAGGUGAAGUCGUAACA
rnacentral:rRNA from 1 species